rnacentral:ncRNA from 1 species
AAGGCCUGAUGUGUGUGAGAUUACCCGCUGAAUUUAAGCAUAUAAGUAAGCGGAGGAAAAGAAACUAACUAGGAUUCCCUUAGUAAUGGCGAAUGAACAGGGAUCAGCUCAGUGCCAAAUCGGAAUCACUUGUGGUUCUGAAAUGUGGCUUGAAGGCAGUACCAGUGGCAUCGCGGACGAAAGUCUCUUGGAAAAGAGCGUCAUAGAGGGUGAGAAUCCCGUGAGUCGUUCGCCGUUUGUCACGUACGGUCUGCGUUCUAACGAGUCGCGUUCCUUGGGAUUGGAGCGUAAACGGGUGGUAAAUUUCAUCCAAAGCAAAAUAUAUACUCGAGACCGAUAGCACAAAAGUACCGUGAGGGAAAGGUGAAAAGAACUUUGAGAAGAGGGUUAAAUAGUGCCUGAAAUCGUUGAGAAGGAAGCGGAUGCCGCCGUUGCAUAUGCUGAUUGUAGGAUUGCUGCUCGCUCCUGUCUUCUGCUACUCAUUCACAGACCUGGUCGUGUUGAGCAGUUGUUUGGCAGAUGUUAGUGGUGUUUCCUACUCUCAGUCGUCAGCAUCACUGGCUGAGUGGAAAUAAUCCUUGGAUGCUAAUUGGUUCGCUAUCUGUGAAUUGGUUGCUUCCUUGCGAUACUCACUACUCGGUCAGUGAGGAAGUGCGUUUGCUGGUCAACGAGCUUUCUAACUGUCAUUACCCUGCGCUUUUCGAUUCGUCGAGUGGCCAGGAUGUGGCUUUGAGAUUGUUCGCACUUAGUAAUCGCGAUGCUGGCUUCCAACGGUUGCCUCCGGCCCGUCUUGAAACACGGACCAAGGAGUCUAACGUAUGUGCGAGUGUGUGAGUGGCAAACUUAUACGCGUAAUGAAAGUGAGGCCGUAUGGCCAUGUUGGGGUCACCAAC